GUAUUGUAAGAAAGGAAAAGAUUAGCAUUCCCCUUGACAAGGAUGGAAGAGGCCUUUGAACUUGACAUCCACAUACAAUUAAGGCAUUGCCACUUACUUCGUGGCAUCUGACCAUUGUUUUUA
ensembl:snRNA